rnacentral:misc_RNA from 1 species
AAACUCUCAAGCUUUGCUUGGUUUUGAAGAUUGACUUAUAGUCAUCUUUCCAACUUGUAGGCAAGAUCUUUUAAACUUCAAGCGUAGCAAUGUCAUCGCUUAGUUGUGAGAUUGAACUUUGUCUGACAAUCAAAAACUUUUCAA